CGCACGGGUGAGUAACACGUAUCCAACCUGCCGUCUACUCUUGGACAGCCUUCUGAAAGGAAGAUUAAUACAAGAUGGCAUCAUGAGUCCGCAUGUUCACAUGAUUAAAGGUAUUCCGGUAGACGAUGGGGAUGCGUUCCAUUAGAUAGUAGGCGGGGUAACGGCCCACCUAGUCUUCGAUGGGUAGGGGUUCUGAGAGGAAGGUCCCCCACAUUGGAACUGAGACACGGUCCAA
rnacentral:rRNA from 1 species